rnacentral:ribozyme from 1 species
AAAAAAAGAGAAAGCAAAAAAAGGACGAAGUAUUCAUUCGUUAGAAUGAGGAUAUCAUUUGUUUUUUGUUUUUUUUUUUUGGUUAUUUCUAUGUGCAGACAGUAUGAAUAUGAUCAGAGUAUGAAUCUGAUAUUUCAAACUGCAUGUAUUCCUGUAUUUCAAUAUGAGAAAAGGAAGGGCAUU